AUCUGCAAAAUUUAGUUCCAGAGUUUUUGACCCUUGGAUUCAAAUAUUUACUGUGAUUAUUUUGGACUUUUUCAGGCUGCGGAUCAGGACUUUGUGGGGAGGCAUUAACUGAAAAUGGUCAUCGAUGCAAGAUUUAUUGUUAUUACGAUGGAAUAUGCAAUCAAACUUGCAAGCUUAUUUUCCAUGGGAUUCAAUUUAUAUUUAUCAAUGGAAUGAUUAUCUUUUGUUGCAGGGCAUACCACUUCGACACCUGGAGUUAUUGAUGGUGCCAUCAGUAUUUCAGCUGUUCAGGUUUUACUCUCUAGUAUGCUUUUGACAUGUAUGCAUGUACUAUGCAAGUGUUUUUUUUUAGAACUUGUCCAUAAAAUUCAUUUGCAAUUCAGUAUUCUUGGCGAACCUCAUCUAAUUCUUACUAUGCUUCCCGUAGUCAUCUUCUGACAUUCCACCUAUACGAAGUUAUUUCAGUUAGGCAUAGGCUUGUCUUUUGCUCAUCCUGUUUAACUUGCAUUUUCCUUGUGUUUUUUAAUUAACACAUCACUUAAUAAAAGAAAUAAAAGGUUGACAUUCAUGAAUUAGUCAUAGCCUUCCCUUGAAAAAGAGGAAAUUGUGGAGCAAGUUACAGUUUUUCAAGGCAAAACGUUUGAUACAUUGCUAAAUUUAGUUUUUAGUUGGAACUUGGAAGGUCAUGACUAGUCUCUCUCCUUACCCUACCUGUUUAUUACUUCAACUAAGGACUAGGAGCCAAAGCAUGCUUAUGCUUUACCCCUUCCUUUCUUACUGAGAUUUUUAUAGAGAAAGUAAAUUAAUGUUGCAAGGCGGACCAUUCUAGAUGGCAGGAAUUUUUAAUCGGACAGACAAUUAGCAGUAAAUCUUAAGUGGUUGGAUGAGUGGGAAAAAUGAGAUUUUGGGGAGGAUGUUUUAGAGAAGUUAUGAUAUUAAAAUUACGGGUCUAUGGUUUCCCUGUGAAAGUCACUAACUGAAUUUGAUUUGUUUCUUUAAUUUUUAUUUCCAUAAUACAUAAACUUGAACCUCUAUUCUAAUAGAACUGUCAAUGUUUACAGAAUUGCACUCUGGAGCUGGUAAGCUGGUCUGGUGAUGCUUCUCCUAGCCUCUUAUAUUUCCAUAUCUUUUUGCAUUUCCUUUGUAUGGGUUGUUUGUCUAUGGAGUGCCUUUUGCUAACCUUAUUCUUUUGACUUUCAAUUUGGCUCCUAGUGGUUAUGCAAAGCCGAUAAGUCCUUGCAUGAGCCAAAACUAAGACUGAAGCAAGUUCCUUCUCUUCUCUUUUCUGUUUUUGGUUCAUGUAGUCUGUCAACUAUCAAAUCUUGUUUGGGGUCAACUUUGGGCUUGGUUUCUUCUGUAUAUUUUUAGAGACAAAACUGGGGUUCAUUAAUGAAAAGAAAUAAAGUUUAAUACAUCUAUUACAGACAACUCAAAAAUAAGGCCAGAAACUUGUUCUCGAAAAGGACAAUCUCUCGGUUCCCUGAUGUGUUGUGAGCUAGAUAAUGAGCUAAAUUUCUAGAUUGUUAAGGAAUGAAGCUGAAACUUGAGUCCUGGAAGUUUGAGCCAAUGCCUCUGAUAUCUGCAAUGGUGAGUCCAAUAUAAGUUGCCUGGGGUCUGCUUCUGCUGUUUACUACCAUGCUGACAGUCUGAAUGUCACUUUUAAUAUCUAAUUCAAGCAAACCUGCAUCCCUGACCAGCAGAAAUCAAAAUAAAAUUGCUCGAGCUUAAAAAAAUUCCACUGAUGCUUGACCGCUUAGUGUUUUGAUGCAUCCCUAAUGUUCAUUCCCUCUUCAUCACAGACACCACCACCCAAACCAACUGAGCUUCCAUCAAACAUUGCAGCCUCAGUAUUGAGUUUAUAUAGAGGAGCUUGCAAAGGGAUCCACGCUCAAGCUUACAAGAAAUUCAAUUCGACUAUACUCACAAAUUUAAACAAAUUUUGUUGCAUUCGAUUAGAUUUCAAUCAACAGUAGCUAAUGAUCAACAUUACCCAUUUGAUUUAGUAUCUUUGAAUCACUGACGCCUAUUUUUUCCCCAUUGUUAAAUCGAAUGAUGUUUUUAUCGCAGGGCAUUCUUUGGAUCAUUAUAUAGAUUUAGUAUCUUUGAAUCACUGACGCCUAUUUUUUCCCCAUUGUUAAAUCGAAUGAUGUUUUUAUCGCAGGGCAUUCUUUGGAUCAUUAUAUAGAUUUAGUAUCUUUGAAUCACUGACGCCUAUUUUUUCCCCAUUGUUAAAUCGAAUGAUGUUUUUAUCGCAGGGCAUUCUUUGGAUCAUUAUAUAGAUUUAGUAUCUUUGAAUCACUGACGCCUAUUUUUUCCCCAUUGUUAAAUCGAAUGAUGUUUUUAUCGCAGGGCAUUCUUUGGAUCAUUAUAUAGAUUUAGUAUCUUUGAAUCACUGACGCCUAUUUUUUCCCCAUUGCUAAAUCGAAUGAUGUUUUUAUCGCAGGGCUUUCUUUUGAUCAUUAUAUAGAUGUUUGGCAAGAGGAGCGAGAGCAGUGUUUCAAGUGUAUCCUGAAAACAUAGCCCAGCGUGAAUUAAUUUUGAGACCUGCAAUGCAUGCUGGAUUUGCUGGUGGUGUGGUUAUUGAUUACCCACACAGGUAUGCAUUCCAGACAAGAACAGACCUAAGAAAAAACGGAAAAUAACCAGGAAAGGGUAGUACAGAGAAUGGAUAUUUAAAAAGAAAGAGCAACUGAGAAGAAAAGGAAACGUUGUGCCUCCUGACACCAGAUACACUGGUCGAAAACGAAAGGAUCGAUUUUGAUCCUUACAUUACAUGUGAAGCCAUCCUAUAGGAAAACUAUAAAUAUAAAUCAUCAUGUAUGCUGACCUUCAUGCAUUUCCUUGCUCGUUCCUGCUGCUGCUCGGUGAAUCCAUGCUGAAGAUCAAUCACAUCGUGUAGAUAGCCAGCAUAGAAUACUUGAUCAGAUGACCAAGGCAGAGAAACGAACCCCCCCGCCGUGUUUUGUUACUUUACGCCAAGAUGAAAAACAAACAAACACAAACUGUAGAAGUACGCAAGCCAUACACUGCAAAUGUUGUUGAUCACACAAAUGGGGACACAGUUUGGUUCGUGAACCUUACUGCGUCGAUGAAAAGGCCGAAUGGAGAACUUUUGGCAAUGAUGAUGAGACUGAUGAACAUGAUCCCAACCGCGGUGUUUCUCUCUCAAACCCUCUUUUAACUCAUACCACACUAACAGCUACAAUCUCCAAGCCUGCCAAAGGGUAUUGAUGCUGCUACUACUGUUGUCGCAUUUUCCAAGAACUGGUUCGAAACCAUUCA